rnacentral:rRNA from 1 species
AUUGAACGCUGGCGGCAUGCCUUACACAUGCAAGUCGAACGGCAGCACGGGUGCUUGCACCUGGUGGCGAGUGGCGAACGGGUGAGUAAUACAUCGGAACAUGUCCUGUAGUGGGGGAUAGCCCGGCGAAAGCCGGAUUAAUACCGCAUACGAUCUACGGAUGAAAGCGGGGGACCUUCGGGCCUCGCGCUAUAGGGUUGGCCGAUAGCUGAUUAGCUAGUUGGUGGGGUAAAGGCCUACCAAGGCGACGAUCAGUAGCUGGUCUGAGAGGACGACCAGCCACACUGGGACUGAGACACGGCCCAGACUCCUACGGGAGGCAGCAGUGGGGAAUUUUGGACAAUGGGCGAAAGCCUGAUCCAGCAAUGCCGCGUGUGUGAAGAAGGCCUUCGGGUUGUAAAGCACUUUUGUCCGGAAAGAAAUCCUUGGCUCUAAUACAGUCGUGGGAUGACGGUACCGGAAGAAUAAGCACCGGCUAACUACGUG